AGGUGAAUCCUGCAGCUCAACUGUAGAACUGCCUUUGAUACUGGUUGACUCUGUAGUUAUUGUGAAGUGGUUAGAAUGUGUAGUGUAGCGGUGAAAUGCAUAGAUAUUACACAGAAUACCGAUUGCGAAGGCAGAUUACUAACAAUAUACUGACGCUGAUGGACGAAAGCGUGGGUAGCGAACAGGAUUAGAUACCCUGGUAGUCCACGCCGUAAACGAUGGUUACUAGCUGUUUG
rnacentral:rRNA from 1 species